ACAAGCUAGAUAAGGGCGUAUGGGGAAUGCCUAGGCUCUCAGAGGCGAAGAAGGACGUGAUAAGCUGCGAAAAGUCGUGGGGAUUGGCACAUACAAAUUGAUCCGCGAAUAUCCGAAUGGGGCAACCCACUAUAUUGAAGAUAUAGUAUCCGCAAGGAGGCGAACCCGGAGAACUGAAACAUCUAAGUACCCGGAGGAAGAGAAAACAAUAGUGAUUGCGCUAGUAGCGGCGAGCGAACGCGCAGAAGCCCAAACCAAUGAGUUUACGGACUUAUUGGGGUUGUAGGACUGCAACAUUGUUUGUACAAUGAAUUAGAACAAGUUGGAAAGCUUGGCCAAAGACGGUGAUAGCCCGGUAUAGGAAAGUUGAUAUAAAGCAUAGCAGUAUCCUGAGUAGUGCGGGGCACGUGAAACCCUGUAUGAAUCCGGCGGGACCAUCCGCCAAGGCUAAAUACUCCUGAGAGACCGAUAGUGAACCAGUACCGUGAGGGAAAGGUGAAAAGAACCCUGAAUAAGGGAGUGAAAUAGAUCCUGAAACCAUACGCUUACAAGCGGUCGGAGCCCUUUAGUGGGGUGACGGCGUGCCUUUUGCAUAAUGAGCCUACGAGUUACCGUUGCCAGCAAGGUUAAGCAGUUCAGCUGUGGAGCCGUAGCGAAAGCGAGUCUGAAUAGGGCGCUUUAGUUGGUAGUGGUAGACGCGAAACCGUGUGAUCUACCCUUGGGCAGGUUGAAGCUGUGGUAACACAUAGUGGAGGACCGAACCCGUUGACGUUGAAAAGUCUUGGGAUGACCUGAGGGUAGGGGUGAAAGGCCAAUCAAACUCGGAAAUAGCUCGUACUCCCCGAAAUGCAUUUAGGUGCAGCGUUGUAGAUAGUUUUAUAGAGGUAGAGCUACUGAUUGGAUGCGGGGGCUUCACCGCCUACCAAUUCCUGACAAACUCCGAAUGCUAUAAAAUGUUUUACAGCAGUGAGGGCAUGGGUGCUAAGGUCCAUGUCCAAGAGGGAAACAACCCGGACCAUCAGCUAAGGUCCCAAAGUAUAUACUAAGUUGAACUAACGAGGUUUGACUGCAUUGACAGCUAGGAUGUUGGCUUGGAAGCAGCCAUUCAUUUAAAGAGUGCGUAAUAGCUCACUAGUCGAGCGGUCGAGCAUGGAUAAUAAUCGGGCAUAAGUAUAUCACCGAAGCUGUGGCAUCGUAAGAUGGGUAGGGGAGCAUUCUAUGUGCGUCGAAGAUAAACUGUGAGGUUUGUUGGAGCGCAUAGAAAAGAAAAUGUAGGCAUAAGUAACGAUAAUGUGGGCGAGAAACCCACACACCGAAAGACUAAGGUUUCCUCAGCUAUGCUAAUCAGCUGAGGGUUAGUCGGGACCUAACGCGAACCCGAAAGGGGUAGUGGAUGGACAACCAGUUAAUAUUCUGGUACCUGCCGACACUAAAAGUGACGGAGAUGAAUAGUUAUUGCGUACUGACGGAAUAGUACGUUGAAGCGACUGUUAAGGUCGCGAUAGUACACCAAGACUUCGGUUGCGGUGAUAAUGUAGCGAAUCAUCUUCCUAGAAAAGCGAGUCAGGCAGCCCGUACCGCAAACCGACACAGGUAGUUGGGAUGAGAAUUCUUAGGUGCUCGAGAGAUUCAUGGCUAAGGAACUAGGCAAAAUUGGCCCGUAACUUCGGGAGAAGGGUCGCCUACAUUUAUGUAGGCCGCAGUGAAAAGUUCCAGGCGACUGUUUAUCAAAAACACAGGACUCUGCAAAAUCGAAAGAUGAAGUAUAGGGUCUGACACCUGCCCGGUGCCGGAAGGUUAAGUGGAGAUGUUAGCUUCGGCAAAGCAUUGAAAUGAAGCCCCGGUAAACGGCGGCCGUAACAAUAACGGUCCUAAGGUAGCGAAAUUCCUUGUCGGGUAAGUUCCGACCUG
rnacentral:rRNA from 1 species